rnacentral:lncRNA from 1 species
AAACUUUAAAUACCCCCUGUAGUUUCACAUUUUCUCACUUUAGUAUCAUGUAGUUUAAAAUGUAUCAAGUUAGCCAAUGUGGUUUUGUACUUUCUCACUUUAGUAUUCUGUGAUUUAAAGUGUAUCAAGUAAGCAUCUUGUGCUUUCAUUAAAUUCUUUUUAUUAUCCAUUUUAUUAUUUUUUUCAUUAAAUUAGUAAGAAAGUUAAAAUUAAAGGGUACUAAAGUGAAUAUUUGAUAGACCUAGAUAGGAUAUCUUAAGUUUUUUGUAUAUAAUUUAACAAAAUAUUAACAGAGUGUUGAUGCCAAAAUUAAAAUUAACACGCCGACCUAAUCCACAUAUGAGCUAAGGAUACGUGGUACAUCAGGAAUCGGCAAUAGGGCGCCUGAAGAUCAAGAGCGUUUAGACGGAAACGGUUGAGAAGUGGGUCGUAAUUUUCAUGUGAAGUGGGGUCUAACUUCCAUGAGAAGUGGGGCGUAACUUUCAUGAUCAUGGCUACACCACUUCCCCAACUAUUAUAACCAACCAAUAAUGUGGGCUAAUAAGAUAUUAUAAAUAGUAACUUUGAAGUCUGUAAUAACGAUUUUUCUCUCCCCUAAACGAGAAGACCACUGCAUUUUCAAUACUUUCCUUUCCUUCAUUUAUCGCUUUCUAGGAGUAGUCUACAUAUAAUUUUUUUUAUCCGCAUUUAUUGCUUUCCUAGAAGUAGUUUUUAAGUUAGAUCUCUGGAGUCUAUAUGCCCCACGGGCACACUCUGUUGUAAUCUAGAUUUUAGAGUCUAUAUGCCCUUCGAGCACACUCUAUUUUGUAUGAGUUUUCAACUUCAUUUUAAUAUAUAAAGACUUUCGACUCUUCAAGCCGACCAACUGGUGUGUGUUUCUUCUAUUCGGCGGCUCAUCUACCGAGUCAAAUUUGUAGCUGGUUCGUACAUUCGGCUCAUUCCAGCCGAACCGAAUCUUUAAUAGAGUUUUCGAACUCAGCUGAUCCGAUCUCUCAUCAGCCAAAUCGGUUGAUCCAGUCAAAGGGCGCAAACUUCGAGGGUCACCAUUCGUAGUCGUUCCGCAUUCCUACGCGCUUUCGAAGGGAGGUCUUUAACCAGGUCAAAGAUAAGGACGUUCGGCUCCCAACACAGAGAAAAAAAAAAUCAUUGAUAAAAUUAAAACUAAAAGGUACUAAAGUAAAUAUUCGAUAAACCUAGAUAGGGCAUCUACAGUUUUUUGUAUAUAAUUUAAUAAAAUAUUAAUUGAGGAGCUGACGAAAAGAGAAACAUAAAACCAUGGGAUUUUAAAUUGAUGCACUUGAAACCACAUAAUAAAAUAAGAAAGUGUGAAACCACAUUACCAAAUUGAUAUAUUUUAAAACACAAGCUACUAAAGUGAAAAAGAAUGAAAUCAUAGGGUGGUAUUUAAAGUUUUUUUCAAAAAUUAGUUGUAUCAUGAGCCGUCUGUUUAUUUUGCCGACAUCAAAAUAUGACGAUCUCGAUGUGCAUGUGGAUUCUCCGUGGCUCUCUCCACCGUAUGUAUACGGGAGUUUUAAGAAUUAAAUUCGUACAGAUUCCUAUAAAAAUAUUAAAUAAUAAAUAUAUUUCGUACAAAAUUUAAGUUAUUAAAUUUAUUUUUUAAAAAAAUUUCUGAUUUGUAAAUAUAUUUUUUUUUAAAGUUUUGAUUCGUUUAUAUUAUUCCACUACUAUUUGAUACACUAUUGAAAAUCCCCGCGCGGGGCUCAAGUGUCGCACAUCCGAGUCAGCCUUCUCGAGUCCUCUCCACGGACAAGUCUCCCAGAUCUCGCGUGUCCGACAUUACCCUAGGCCCGUGUCCCUUCAACCAUCCAAUACCCGGUCACACGGAACGCUAGACUUGGCCACUCCGCUAGCCAAGGGACGACUCAUGUCCUAUGGGUCGACGGGGGAGUCGGGGCCACUUACUCACGGUCGAGUCCCAGCGAUCGAUUCGUGAUAGGCUCCCCCACUUGAACCAUCGACAUCCUCAUCGAUGCUCCACCACUUCAAACUCCGUUGCCAGCAGUAUUACUCUUCCAGAUCAGAGCCACCCAUGGCCUUGGCAUCUCAUGCCACACUAACCUGCCAUCGAGUUCGUCUGCUCAACAACGCUUCUGAAAAACCCAUUGGUCCUCCUCGACCAAAUUACUCUUCCAGACCAGAGCCACCCACGACUUGGCAUCUCAUGCCACACUGACCUGCCAUCGAGUUCGUCUGCUCAACAACGCUUCUUAAAAGCCCAUUGGUCCUCCUCGACCAAACGCUUCAUACACAUAUUCUGUCCUUCCUCGAGUUUAACUUCGUCAAUGCAAGUGCCUACCAAAUGUGGCCCCCAAAGGUGUCACGGUCGAGUCCCAGCGAUCGACCCGUGACAGGCUCUCCUACUUAUUUUUUUAACAGUAGAUGCGCAAAAUGGCUAUUUUACGCUCACAAAUUUAUCUUUGCGAAGUACAAUCUUUCGUUCUCUCUUUUCUUGCCUUCGCCGCAGCACAUGCAGUGUGCCUCAACUUUGCCACGAUCGAGAGCCUUGCCUUCAACCUCGCCACCAUUAUAGGUCUCGCCGUCGCCUUUGAUAAAGAAAAGAGAAUGAGAGACAUGAUAAAACUCAAUGUUAAAACACAAAUUAUAAAUAUAAGAGAUAAAAAAUUAUUUUACUUCUUAGCUAAUUGUGAUUAUCAUUUUUAACUUAUGAUUAUCUAAAUUUUAUUAGCAGAAGAAUACAUUUGUAGACCGAAGAAUUUUUGAAGGAAUAAAUCUAGUAACUUAAAUUUUGUAAAAAUAUAUUUAUUAUUUGAAAGCCAUAUGUAAUUAUUUUUUUUAUUAAAUUACACGUGCAUAGGACAUAGUGUUUUGAGCCAAAAAAAAAAAAAUAAUAGCACGAAUUUCAAAGUAUGCUAACUCUAAAACAAUAUACGUAGAUAGGGCUGGCAAACGAGCGAGCCGGCUCGCGUUCGACUCGUGUUCGGCUCGAUAUUCGGCUCGCUCGAGCUCGACUCGAAAUUAAAUGAGCCGAGCUUGAACAAAAUAAAAGGCUCGAAAUUCAUUUCAAGCCGAGUUUGAGUAUUACUCGGCUCGUUCGAAUUAGGUUCGAAAAGCUUGAAAAGCUCGAAUAUAUAUAUAUAUAUAUAUAUAUAUAUAUAUAGAUAGCUGGGGCUACUAUACUCUUAUGAGUAUAGACCCCAUUGUACUCAUAAAUUUUUAACCGUUGAUUAAUGGGAUGUGUGGUUAGGAUGAUGGUGGUCUCCACUUAGAAUGAUAGUGGUCCCCUAGGGUUGAGUGGGUAUCUCAAAAAAAAAAAAAAAAAAAAAACACAUUUGAAGGCACUAAUGUAUAGUGAAAACUGAUAAAAACUAAUAAACAAUUCAUGACAGUAAUUUAGAAAGGGCAUCAAAAUUCAGUCUUAUAUACAUACCAAAAUAGACUUUUACUGUUUGAGUUUUACAAAUUAAAUAAUAAAUAUGGUUAAUUUUAUUGAUCCAAAUAACUCUGGCAUCAAGAACACUCAUCUAUACUAUUACUAUACUAUAUUUUUUUUUUUAUUUUUUUACUAAUACAAUGUUAAUCAUUCUAUAUUUGAUAAAUAAAGAAUCUAGGUGGUGAAUCAUAAAUUUCAAAAGUUUGAACAGUAGGUAAAAUUUUGAACUGAUCCGAUCCGACAGGUUAGCAAUAAUAACUCGUUGGGCACAAACACUAGCACAAAAACACUUAAGUUAAUUAUUAUUUUUAGAGUAGUGUCUUAUAUAUUCAACCAUAAUUUGUUUCCAUCCGAUGUGGGACUAUUAGGAUGUCAUAACUUCUUUAAAAUAAAUCUAGCCCGACUAGUCCAGCUGAUUUUAAGUGGAAAAAAGUCUUCUCAAUCAAAAAGGAUGAUUGGUCUAAAUUGUAAUUUAUUUUAUGAAAAGUUUUUUUUCACAUAUAAGUACUUCUAUUUUUCGAAUUCAGUUUUCCAUAAAAUUUGGAAAGAAGUUGUUUUUAGUUUUUAUUAAACCAAACGAACAGAAAAUUAGAAAUUUCUCUUUCAUAUAAUACAUUUUUUCGAAAAAAAAAAUCGUACUUUUUUGAGAAACAACUAACUCCUAAGUUAUACGUUUGAUAAACCGUACGCACAAUGCUCCUUCAAAUAUAGGAAGGACAUUUUGAACUAACCUCUUUGUUAUAUAUAAACCUAAAUUACAAUGUAGAAUAUAAAAUAGAAUAUAAAAUUUGAAUUUGAAUUUAAAUUUUUGACUUUAGAAUAUGAGCUUUGAAUUUGAAUUGGAAUUUCAUUUUGAAUCUAAAUUUUGAUUUGACAUCUGAAUUUAUAUUCAUAUUUAAAAUUUAAAAUUGAAAUUGAAUUCGGAAUUCAAAUUUAAAAUGUUGAAUUUGAAUUUAAAGCUAUAUUGAAUUUGAAGAAGAUAUUUCAUAAUUUUUUUUUGUACGGGAGUAUAUUUAAUCUUUUAAAUUGUUAUAAUUAGGUUGUGCAAUCGAAAUUAAUUUGACUAAAAAUUAACGUAUUGCUGAUAUGAAAGUGAUGAAGCGUCUUAAUCAUCAUCGCGUCAUCGGUCACAAUAUUAUUAAAUUACUUUCACAUUAGCAAUAUAUCACUAUUUAGUCAUGAAUUCGCGGUCAAGAAAUUUGAAUGCACAAUUCAAAAAUUUGAUCUCAAAUUACAGUAAGUUAUAAUCUGAGAUGAAGACAACAAUGUAACUUAGCCUAACUCUUUAUCAUAUGAUAAAGUUGUGCUUUAAAAAAAUUAAGGUAAACUUUAAAUACCCCCUGUAGUUUCACAUUUUCUCACUUUAGUAUCAUGUAGUUUAAAAUGUAUCAAGUUAGCCAAUGUGGUUUUGUACUUUCUCACUUUAGUAUUCUGUGAUUUAAAGUGUAUCAAGUAAGCAUCUUGUGCUUUCAUUAAAUUCUUUUUUAUUAUCCAUUUUAUAUUUUUUUCAUUAAAUUAGUAAGAAAGUUAAAAUUAAAGGGUACUUAAAGUGAAUAUUUGAUAGACCUAGAUGGAUAUCUUAAGUUUUUUGUAUAUAAUUUAACAAAAUAUUAAGAGUGUUGAUGCCAAAAUUAAAAUUAACACGCCGACCUAAUCCACAUAUGAGCUAAGGAUACGUGGUACAUCAGGAAUCGGCAAUAGGGCGCCUGAAGAUCAAGAGCGUUUAGACGGAAACGGUUGAGAAGUGGGUCGUAAUUUUCAUGUG